UACUUUAAGGAAAUGAUAAAGAAAUGAUCAUAAAUGUUCUUCCUUGAGCUGCGUCACCCCGCUGUAGUCUGUAAUGGACUGGCCUGAGGUCUCGCUACAAACAAGCAGCUGCUGGAAGAGAGUAGGUGAGUUGUGUUUAGUCUCUUUGCUAAAGAAAUGAGUCAAAGUUAAAAAGAUGUUUGGUGUCUAGUACUAUGUCUGUGACCCUAUAUGUCCUGUUGAUGAAGUUAGGUGCUGUUCUGAGCAUUAUUUGUGGCUAUAGAGUGGCGUUUUGGUUGGGGGCGUGGCUCUCUGUAUUUCUAUCCUGCGGUCGUUACUAAAGUUGGUAUAACUAGAGAAGCAAGAGGUCGGCAACAUUCAUCUCUGGAGGGGGGGGUCUAACUCGGUGUUACGGUGUGUUUGACCCUAAAUUGAUUUUACCCCGGAAUAUCCCUUUAAUUACUCAACUAUGGAUAUCGGGGUCAUGUUUACCCCAGGUCAGACAUGAUGUACAUGCAAAGAUGUGAUUAGAUGCAGAUCUUGCACAGACUGAGUGAGGGUCUGGCCGGUUUUUUAAGUCCACAGGGAUCCUCUGUACCUCAUACAGCCACACUUACAACAAACACACAACUAUCCGUUUAAAGUGAAGACUCAUCGUCAUGUGAACGAGGCGUUCAGUCGAUUCGAAGGUUAAGAGUCACUCAGCAGGAGGUUUAAUGAAGCUGCAGAGGAACAACACGAUUACAGGAACCUCCAGUUCAGCCAACACGGGCGGGAAGACUCUGAAAGAGUGAGUGUGUGUUCAGAGAAGGAAGCAGUCUUACAAUCGAAACAAAAGCCUGUAAUGAAUCACUGCUCGCUCGCUCGCUCACUCUCUCGCUCACUCUCUCUCUCGCUGUGAGCUCUUAUUUUUCCUGUAACUUGUGACCAGCAGAUCCUUCGCUCGGAGCUGCAGCAGUCUUCAACAAAAACCAGUUCAGUGACCCCUCAGUGAUUUACAAUAACCCUGAGUGUCCUGGUAUCCGCUCUGCCUCCAAAGUCAAGCUUUUCGGGGGACUGACGGGUCCUUUAUUCUGCUCUGAGGAGAAAACACUCAGAGGAUAGUCAUCUUUAUUUCCUGUUACAAACAAACAUGCAGCUGAUAAAACAUUAAAACAUAAGUAUGAUGACAAAGUGCCUCUACAUCUCUGCAGCUCCAUGAACCAUAAACAGCUGAUUCUGGAGAGAAAACAGAACGUCAAAAUCACAUAACACUCACAAAAGGACAAAGUGCACCAUGGGUAAUGUAUUUAAGGUGCCGCUAAAAAUCGCCAGAAGACAAUGCGGCAUGAAGAGGACGCUUAAAAAGACUCGGUACGGUGAGGGGUCUGAUCUAGAAGUGGUCCCACCUCUUCUGCUGUUACCAAACACACUUUGAAAGUCAUGGUUGACGAUUGGAGAGAUCGGUAAUUAUUAUGAACCUCGUUUCUAUGGCGAUCAUGGUCCUUUAGUGCGAUCUCCACAAAGUGAAGAGAAAAAAGAUCGGAAAAAAUCUGUUCACCCUAUCAGGUGCAGGGCUGCAAAAACAUUGACCAAUGGGAGCCAUCCGUCCCGGACAGCUCCGAAAAUAAUCACAUUAACACAGAGUUUCCUUAAAUAUUGGUCUAGAGGUAAAAAGAGUCUGGACCAGAUUUCUGUUGAGUUCUGCUUCUGAAAAUCCAGGGCGCUAUAAAAAAGAGUCGAGUGAGUUUCCCAUCAGGAGGAAGUGUUUAUGUGAGCAAGAGAAAAUAGAAAGAGAGGAAGAGAAAGGAGAAGUAAUAAAGACAAAAAAAGGAAGAAUAAAAAUCUGUCUUUUCUCACUAACAGAGGAACCGGAGAGACGGAAAAUAAACACAAAAGAAACAAAAUACCAACAUGAAACUUCCCUGCAGUCAAACCGCUGCUGCCUGCAAGAAGAAAAUAUGACUGUAGAGCGAAAUCAUCCAAUAUUUACUCACGCUUUAAAGCAAAAAUGAUGAAACCUUUUACAUCGGAGAUUUAAUCCGGUGUCAAGCUGAUGUAAACAAACGCCAUCACAUGCAACUUUGAGGCACGAACAAUUCACACAAAAACAGCAACUACCAAACCAAGACUCUUGUGAGUCCACAAAGUGAACAGAAAAAAAACGCUGUUGAGUGUCUGUUAGGGCUGGGCGAUAUGGGAAAAAGUUUAUCACAAUAUAAACCGACGUUUUCCUAACGCCAGUGUUGUGGUUGACAUUGAUGUGGUCAUCUGUUGAGCCUUCAUGGUCAUUUCUGUCGGGGGUAGCACUCAUUUUCUUUGUUUCUCACCAACAGUGCUGUCGGCUUCACCUGUUAAAGUGCUAUGGUUGGGUGGAGCUGCUGUCUGCUACGACGCAGCAGUUGGUUGAUACUUGGUUCUAAUUCAGAACAUGAUUGGUUCAGACCCGGAGAAACUCCCCUUUUCAUUGGCGAAUGGUAUAAUUGACAAAAACAUGGCAGAAUGCUGACUAUUGAAAAGCAUAUUGACCAUGUUUUAUAUUCAUAUUGAAGGAAAUUAAUUUAAUAUAUAUCGUUAUCGUUUCUCGCCCAGCCCUAGUGUCUGUAGAUACUCAGGUGUUUGGGGCGUUUUCACUGAUCCGUCUCCAAGUAUAGAAAAAAACAUCUAGAAGCUGAACAAACCAAUCACUGACCGGCACACAGAACAAUCUGUUCUCUGCUGGAGGUGUAAACUGUCCGUCACACACCAAUAUUUCAUAAAGUGCUGCAGUUCACCUAUAUCACCAUGGCAACCUCAGCCUGUUUUUAAUUGGAGCCUGAGGCCAGUCUGCAUCCCUUUCAUCUCCUUCACAUACACACAUGCUGGAGACACACUGUGUGUAUAUACGCUCACUUACACACACACACACACACACACACACACACUCUCUCUCUCUGCUCUGAGGCGUCGUCUCCCGUUGGGACGGAGGGAUGUGCGAUCAGUCGUCACUCUUGAUGUUCGAGGUUCAAAUCUGGUUCAUGGGUGUCAGUCAGCUCGUCUCCGUGUGUUCGCUCCGUCACACCUGAACUGACGUUUUUUCUACGCUCUGAUUUCUUUCCUCCGUACGACCUUGGAGGACAGCCGUGUGUUUAUAGGAACGGCAACACUUUUACUAUCAGAGAUUUUUCACAGCUGAAGUUUUCCUGUGUGAAAUUUCAAUUUCAGUUUAAGACAAAACCUGAAACAUAAGUAGAGUCAGCGCAACACCCUCAUCACAAUUAUUACUCUGACGAUGAAGAAGGUUUGGAGUCGACUGGAAAUCCAAAAACCUGUAAACGUACGAUUUAGACCUGAUGAGAGGGGGCAGAUGUUAAAGAUGCCAGUCUGGUCUGGAAUCUGAAUUUUCAAUCAGCAUCUGUGACAAAACUCAGAAACCAAGUUUCACCUCAUCCGGAACCGCUCCAAUCUGGAACGGCGGCUAUUUUUCGCUGUCUAGAAUCAAUUUCUGUGCAUCGUUUUACUGAGUUUAUGUUUGAUUUUCUACAACAUAAAUUUCUUGGCAGAUUACGGACAGAGGUAAUCACGAGAACUCACAAGAACCUGCAGAUUCACGUUCAAUUGCACAAUAACGAGUUGUCUCUUGGCCACAGAGGCUAACCAUCUAAGCAGUAGAUUGUGUCCUUCCAGAGGAGAAAAUCUACUUCUAGACUUCUAGAAUCAGCAUCUCCUCAUCCAUGGUGUCAUCGGGGUGAAAUGACGUCUAAAAACCUUUCACUUGUUCGUCUCCUCCUGAAACACGGAGUGUUUUAUUUUGAAAAGAAUCCGGAUGUUUUAUUUUGUGUCUGUGUCCGAUUUCCUUUCCAGCACGGGUUAAUCUGUGCUGAAUUUAUCCGCCAUGCUCCGGCGUCUGACGGAAAGAAGUCGGUGUAAAUUGACACGUUAACUUAAAUGGUUACGAUCAGCUACGAUCGAAGGAUACGACCUUUUAGGAGACGAUCAGGAUGAAGGUGGAAACUGGGGGUUAGUCCUUGUAGAGUUUGCUGGUGUUUCUAGAUGGUGGACCAGUUCUCGGCCUUGGAUGAUUUCUCCAGAUCCUCUGAAUCUUUGAAUGAUAUUAUGUACUGUAGAUGAUGGAAUCCAUUCAUUCCUGUAGAAAUUGUUUAAAACUGGAGAUGCAGUAUGGAUGAUUUCCAGUUCUUUUAAUUUUAUGCCGGAAUAUCCCUUUAAACCCUGAAGUUCAGGACCAUCCAGUCCUGGUUUUGGUCUUUGUCCCUUUAGUACAGAUAUUUCUCCAGAUCUUCUAAACUCUCACAGAGUCCUGACCCUCUUCCAUCUUUCCUUCUCAGAGACUCAGCCUCUCUAAACGUCCGUCUUAGACCCGGUCAUGUGACUAAAACCUGCUCCUCUGGAUGUUUUUUGGCUUUACAACUUUUUCAGUGCUUCACAGUUCCUGUCCAAAAAUACGUUACUCUCCCUCCUGUAUAUUCAUGUUUUUUUGUCUCUACUCUUUGAAAAUUAUCAUCACAUUAUCAUUUCUAACCAACUAAAUCAAGUUUUGGUGAAAGAAAAUCUGAAAAUCGGAGAUACUCGGCUGAUAAAACUGAGCUGUGAUUCUCUUUUAGAGCCAUAAAUUAUUCAGACACACACGUCUGGACGUCUGUCCUGAGGCUUGGGGGACUCAGGUGAACCACACAGCUUAUUAACCCGACAUCACACACACACACACACACACACGCACGUGAACAAGAACACACACACACACACACACACACACGCACGUGGACAAGAACACACACACACACACACGGGCACGAACACAGACCUUUAACAAGACAAAGGAGGCUCCAUUUUUGACAGGCAAACUGAGGCGAGCGCAACACUCCAUCUCUGCUCUGUUUCAAACCAGUGGAGCACAGAGCAUCAUGGGAAAUAAGAGGGGGAAGGGCUUUCAUGUCCCAUUUCCUCCCUUAAUUGUGCAAAUUAAUUGUCAAGUUAAGGAAUAUGGAGAAGCAGUUCAUGUUGUUUAGUAUUGGGAAGGAAAGGAUGUUUGGAUUUUUUCAGUCCUCCUCUGCUAAAGUUAUCCUCAGACUACAACGUGUUGGAACGACUCCUGGGUCGAGGGUCAACGAUUAAGAUAUUUUACCACAAGUAUACGACAAACAACUUCCUGACGAUACUUUCAUUCUUUGUUUUAAGUCCAAUCGGCAAUUUAAGAAGCAGCCGAGUCGUUUUUUGGCUUUUUACAGCUCCGUCCAUCAGAUGGUGGUGGGUCUCAGUUUCACAGUAAAGAGUCUUCGGGCCGGCUUCCUUCAGCAGUAGGAACCUCCUUAUUUAUGUUUUUAGAGCGUGUCUACUGCACAAUAGUUAAGUCAAAUAAAUGUUGUUUCUCCUGGAGUCUGUUGCUGUGCUAACUUCAAUUUUGGGUCCAAGAAAAACUCGACCAAGGAGACAAUCAAAUAUAUCAUAUCGUAUCCUAACAUGUUGUAUAUCAGAUUGUAAGCUAUAGUAUCAUAUUGUAUCGUAUGUUAUUGUGUCCUAUAGUUUUUUAUGGUAUUGUAUGUAUCCUGUCAUAAAUGAAAAAUUUUCCUUCCUGUGACAGAGGAGUAAUGAAUGAGUCAAAAAACUUACAUAUGAACUUUGAAAGAUGUGGAGAAGAGUCUCUUUUACAGCAAGUCGAUCUUUUACUUUCAUUUAUUUAUUGUAUUUUAAUUUUGGAGACAUUCUGUUUGAGCUCCUGAUGAAUCUGUUCAUUUUUGGGCCAAUAAGUUUAUGAAUUUUUCUCAACAUGUUCCUGAAUCAAUAAUUGAUUUAAUCUGGUUUAUUAUUCAUGUCUGUACGCUCAGCAUUGAUGACUCACACUCAACAGAGAGAAAAUAAUCAUUUUUUAAAAAGUAUAUCUGCCUACAGCAUCUAUCUUUCUAUCUAUCCAUCCAUCCAUCCAUCCAUCCAUCCAUCUAUCUAUCUAUCUAUCUUGUAUCUAUCUAUCUAUCCAUCCAUCUAUCUGUCAGAACAGAAUAUCAUUCAAAGAUUCAGAGGAUCUACAUUUAAAAUAGGACUUUGUUUGUUUGUUUGUUUGUUUUUUAACUCA
rnacentral:lncRNA from 1 species